ensembl:lncRNA
GUUGGAAGUGUCCUUACAGAUCACAGAGCCAUGGAAUGGUUAGGUUGGGUUGGAAGGGUCCUUGAAGAUCAUAAAGUCAUGGAAUGGUUAGGUUGGAAGGGUCCUUACAGGUCACAGAGCAAUGGAAGGGUUGGGUUGGGUUGGAUGGGUCCUUCCAGAUCACAGGGCCAUGGAACUGUUGGGUUGGAAGUGUCCUUACAGAUCACAGAGCCAUGGAAUGGUUAGGUUGGGUUGGAAGGGUCCUUGAAGAUCAUAAAGUCAUGGAAUGGUUAGGUUGGAAGGGUCCUUACAGAUUACAGGGCCGUGGAAUGGUUGGGUUGGAAGGAUCGUUGAAGAUCACAGAGUCAUGGAACGGCUGGUUUGGGUUGGAAGGAUCCUUGAAGAUCAGACAACCACAGAAUGGUUGGGUUGAAAGGGUCCUUACAGGUCACAGAGCCAUGGAAUGGUUGGGUUGGGUUGGAAGGGUCCUUCCAGAUCACAGAGUCAUGGAAUGGUUGGGUUGGAAGGGUCCUUACAGGUCACAGAGCCAUGGAAGGGUUGGGUUGGGUUGGAUGAGUCCUUAAAGAUCACAGAGCCAUGGAAGGGUUGUGUUGGAAGGAUCGUUGAAGAUCACAGAGUCAUGGAAUGGCUGGUUUGGGUUGGAAGAGUCCUUGAAGAUCAUAAAGCCAUGGAAUGGUUGGGUUCGGUUGGAAGGGUCCUUCCAGAUCACAGGGCCAUGGAAUUGUUGGGUUGGAAGGGUCCUUACAGGUCACAGAGCCACGGAAGGGUUGUGUUGGAAGGAUCGUUGAAGAUCACAGAGUCAUGGAAUGGUUGGGUUGGAUUUGAAGGGUCCUUGAAGAUCAGACAACCACAGAAUGGUUGGGUUGAAAGGGUCCUUACAGGUCACUGAGCCAUGGAAUGGUUGGGUUGGGUUGGAUGGGUCCUUACAGAUCACAGGGCCGUGGAAUUGUUGGGUUGGGUUGGAAGGGUCCUUCAAGAUCACAGAGCCAUGGAAUGGUUGGGUUGGGUUUAUAUGCUCCCUUUAGGUCCUAGAAGGCCACAAUGAGGUCUCCCCGCAGCCUUCUUUUUCCAAGCUAAACAAGCCCAGUUCCCUCAACCUUUCCCCAUAGGAGAGCUGCUCCAGCUCGCCAGCUCCAGCUGAUGGUGAUUAAGCUUGCUGAUGGCACACAGCUGGGAGCAGAGGGCCGUGCUGCCAUCCAUUGAGCCCUGGGCAGGGAGAAACGGGAUGGAACACAACAACUGCAGCGUGGAGUAUUGCAUGUGGGCAUGGAGAAGGCCAUGGGCAAGUACAGGUUGGGGACAGAGCAGAAUAAAGGGACCUGGGGGGUCCUGGUGGGCAGCAGGAGGACCAUGAGACAGCAGUGUGCUUUGGUGGCCAAGAAGGCCAAUGGUGGCCUGUACAGGAGGAUCAUGAGCCAACACUGGGCUUUGGUGGCCAAGGUCGAUGGUGGCCUGGGCAGGAGGAGGACCAUGAGCCAGGAGUGUGCUUUGGUGGCCAAGAAGGCCAAUGGUGGCCUGGGAAGGAGGAGAACCACAAGGCAGCACUGUGCUUUGGUGGCCAAGAAGGUCAAUGGUGGCCUGAACAGGAGGACCACGAGCCAACACUGUGCUUUGGUGGCCAAGAAGGCCAAUGGUGGUCUGGGCAGGAGGAGGACCACGAGACAGCAGUGUGCUUUGGUGGCCAAGAAGACCAACGGUGGCCUGGGCAGGAGGAGGACCACAAGCCAACACUGUGCUUUGGUGGCCAAGAAGGCCAAUGGUGGCCUGGGCAGGAGGGGGACUAUGAGCCAGCAGUGUGCUUUGGUGGCCAAGAAGGUCAAUGGUGGCCUGAACAGGAGGACCACGAGCCAACACUGUACUUUGGUGGCCAAGAAGGCCAAUGGUGGCCAAGGCAAGAGGACCAUGAGACAGCAGUGUGCUUUGGUGGCCAAGAAGGUCAAUGGUGGCCUGGGAAGGAGGACCAUGAACCAACACUGUGCUUUGGUGGCCAAGAAGGCCAAUGGUGGCCUGGGCAGGAGGACCACAAGCCAGGAGUGAGCUUUGGUGGCCAAGAAGGCCAAUGGUGGCCUGUGCAGGAGGAGGACCACGAGACAGCAGUGUGCUUUGGUGGCCAAGAAGACCAACGGUGGCCUGGGCAGGAGGAGAACUAUGAGCCAACAGUGUACUUUGGUGGCCAAGAAGGUCGAUGGUGGCCAAGGCAAGAGGACCAUGAGACAGCAGUGUGCUUUGGAGGCCAAGAAGGCCAAUGGUGGCCUGGGCAGGAGGACCAUGAGACAGCAGUGUGCUUUGGUGGCCAAGAAGGCCAAUGGUGGCCUGGGAAGGAGGAGGACCAUGAGACAGCAGUGUGCUUUGGUGGCCAAGAAGGUCAAUGGUGGCCUGGGAAGGAGGACCAUGAACCAACACUGUGCUUUGGUGGUCAAGAAGGCCAAUGGUGGCCUGGGAAGGAGGACCAUGAGCCAACAGUGUGCUUUGGUAGCCAAGAAGGCCAAUGGUGGCCUGGGAAGGAGGACCAUGAGACUGCACUGUGCUUUGGUGGCCAAGAAGGCCAACAGUGGCCUGGGCAGGAGGACCAUGAGACAGCAGUGUGCUUUGGUGGUCAAGAAGGCCAAUGGUGGCCUGGGAAGGAGGACCAUGAGCCAACAGUGUGCUUUGGUAGCCAAGAAGGCCAAUGGUGGCCUGGGAAGGAGGACCAUGAGACUGCACUGUGCUUUGGUAGCCAAGAAGGCCAAUGGUGGCCUGGGCAGGAGGACCAUGAGACAGCAGUGUGCUUUGGUGGCCAAGAAGGCCAAUGGUGGCCUGGGGUGCAUUGGAAGAGGGGUGGGUGGGAGGUCCAGAGAGGUUCUCCUGCCCCUCUGCCCUGCCCUGGGGAGGCCACCUCUGGAUUCCUGUGUCCACAUGGGGGUCCCUCCGUGCUGAGGAGGUGGUGAAGGCAGCAGAGCAUCUCCGUGCUGAGGAAGGGCAGAGGGGAGUGGGGGCUCUUUCGUUUGGAGAGAGGGGGAGACGGAGGGGUGACCCCAUUGGUGCUGACAGAUCCACCUACUCUGCAGGUGGAUCGGAACGGGUGAUCUUCAAGGACCCUUCCAAUCCCUGAUGCGAUUCUGUGCUACAACCCCGUGCCACGUGGAGCCCCCCACGCUGUGUCUCAACGCAGAC